rnacentral:rRNA from 1 species
UACAGGGGGUGCAAACGUUGUUCGGAAUCACUGGGCCUAAAGCGUACGUAGGCGGCGUCGUAAGUGUCGGAUGAAAUCCCACGGCUUACCCGUGGAACGGUCCGGCAUACUGCGGUGCUAGAGGAUGGUAGAGGAGAGCGGAACUCUUGGUGGAGCGGUGAAAUGCGUAGAUAUCAAGAGGAACACCGGUGGCGAAGGCGGCUCUCUGGUCCAUGUCUGACGCUGAGGUACGAAAGCCAGGGGAGCAAACGGG